rnacentral:snRNA from 1 species
AUGCUCGCUUAUGCAGUACAUUUACUAAAUUUGGAAUGAUACAGGGAAGAUUAGCAUGGCCCCUGCACAAGGAUGCCACACAAAUUUGUGAAGCAUUCUAUAUUUAA